AACGAACGCUGGCGGCGCGUUUUAAGCAUGCAAGUCGAACGGUAGGCUGGGGGCAACUCCGGCUGAGAGUGGCGAACGGGUGAGUAACACGUAGACAAUCUGGCCCUGGGACAGGGAUAGCUCAUGGAAACAUGGGGUAAUACCUGGUGAGGUCGUGAGUGCUGAGGCUCUUGCGAUGAGAGGCUUCAAUUGGAGCGCCUUGGGGUGAGUCUGCGGUCCAUUAGCUAGUUGGAGGGGUAAUGGCCCACCAAGGCGACGAUGGAUAGCCGGCCUGAGAGGGUGUACGGCCACACUGGGACUGAGACACGGCCCAGACUCCUACGGGAGGCAGCAGCUAAGAAUCUUCCGCAAUGGGCGAAAGCCUGACGGAGCGACGCCGCGUGGACGAUGAAGGCCGUAAGGUUGUAAAGUCCUUUUCUCUGUGAGGAAUGAGUGGGGGAGUGGAAAGCCCCCAUGAUGACGGUAACGGAGGAAUAAGCACCGGCUAACUACGUGCCAGCAGCCGCGGUAA
rnacentral:rRNA from 1 species